CUUUUCCUUUUGCUGGUUUUGGGUUUUGUUUGUUCUUUUUCUAGCUCCUUUAGACAUAAGGUUAGAUUUUUUUUUCACAAAUAAGAUUUUUUAUUUGUCACCAUUGAAUGUCUGAAUUUUAAACAGAUUCUUGGACUGGUGGCUCAUAUCCAUCAGCUUGUUCCACUUUAGCACCAGUCUCAUCCCCAGUAGCUUUUCCAGAACUACUACCUUCACCAUGAAGCUCCAUGAGCUUUCCCAAUUCAAACUUGGGCUUCUUCAGCAUUUUUACUUUUCUAACAAAGAUAUCAUGGAGCGGAUAAAUAGACUGACAAGCUUUUUCUAUAUCAUUUCCAAUGCUGUCUGGAAUCAAUUUUUUGACCACUUCUUUCAAGUCAUUUGCCUGAACCUCUCGGGUCAUGAUCUCCAUCAUCUUUUUCCGAAUUUGGUGGACCUGUUGAUGCUGAGCGUGAGAGGUCUUCCAAAUCUGAUUAUUGCGUUUUUUAGUAAAACCAACCCAAAAUAGACGAAGCAAAUAACCAUCAGUAGUCUUGACGUCAACAUGAGCUUCAAUCAUGGUCUGCUAUUUUUUGACCAUGGAGCACAUUUUGUCCCGGGUAAGAUCCAUGCCAUAGAAAUUGGUCAGGCAGUUUUUGCCCUGAACAUCCUCAGUAAUUAGCUUGAAUUUUCUGAAUGCAGCUUCAUCAUUCUGCAGAUCAGCAAGACUCACUUCAAAAACACGACCCUUGAAGCCAUCAGAAGCGAUUUUGUUUCCUUGAGUUCUUGUGACUAAUGUUUUUCCAAUAUUUCUUAUAUUACACAUAGAUGGUGCUUUCACAUCAUACCAAUCUUUCUUAGAAAAUGGAUCAACCACUUUCUUCUUGGCUCCCUUUUUGCCGCCUUUCGUAAGGCGCUUGUUUUUGCCGACCGCCAUGGUGCUGCUCAGGGAGCCAAAAGGCAAGGUUAGAUUUUUUAUUUGAGAUUUUUCUUUCCUCUUGAGGUAAACC
rnacentral:lncRNA from 1 species